rnacentral:misc_RNA from 1 species
UGGUGGCAAUCCCACUGGACGACUCGCUCGCCAACUCCUCAAUGGGUGUUCCGUGCGUCCAUCGCAUGGAAGGCUGGUUGGUUCCUGUGCUGCGUACCGUGAUUGUGGAAUACGGCGUCUCGUUAUUAGCUCCCUCCAUCGGCUGCCCCCAGGGGUAGCGGAUGGACAGCGCAGUAGGCCCCUUGGUCCACGCUUUGCCUAGAUGCUCGAUGAGCGCGACACUGCGAUGGGCCACGGGCGCUUUACUCGAUCUCUCGGAUGCAGAACGUCUCGACGGCAUGUGGCCCCAAAGCCUCUCUAUGCCCGAUGCUCCUUGCACCAAUUGAAUGACGGUCAUGCCUUGCCAUCCUCGCCCCCCAGCCUUGCGCUGGCGAGUUAGGUGGCGGCACUGGCGUCGUCAAUGGAUGCUACCUGGUUGAUCCUGCCAGUAGUCAUAUGCUUGUCUCAAAGAUUAAGCCAUGCAUG